rnacentral:rRNA from 1 species
UGGGGAAUAUUGCACAAUGGGGGAAACCCGUGAUGCAGCGACGCCGCGUGAAGGAAGAAGUAUUUCGGUUAUGUAAACUUCUAUCAGCAGGGAAGAAAAUGACGGUACCUGACUAAGAAGCCCCGGCUAACUACGUGCC